rnacentral:rRNA from 1 species
UACGAAGGGGGCUAGCGUUGUUCGGAAUUACUGGGCGUAAAGCGUGCGUAGACGGUAGCGUAAGUCGGGUGUGAAAGCCCCGGGCUCAACCUGGGAAUUGCAUUCGAGACUGCUCUGCUAGGGUGCGGAAGAGGGAAGCGGAAUUUCCGGUGGAGCGGUGAAAUGCGUAGAGAUCGGAAAGAACACCAACGGCGAAAGCACUCUGCUGGGCCGACACUGACACUGAGAGACGAAAGCUAGGGGAGCGAAUGGG